rnacentral:rRNA from 1 species
GACGAACGCUGGCGGCGUGCCUAAUACAUGCAAGUAGAACGCAGUUGCGAACGGGUGAGUAACGCGUAGGUAACUGCCUCAUAGCGGGGGAUAACUAUUGGAAACGAUAGCUAAUACCGCAUACUGUGAGAUGGACCUGCGUUGUAUUAGCUAGUUGGUGAGGUAAAGGCUCACCAAGGCGACGAUACAUAGCCGACCUGAGAGGGUGAGCCGCCCCACUGGGAUCGGAACAAGUGCCAGAAUGCGACGGGAUGCAGCCAGUGGGGAAGUUCGGCAAGGGGCGGAAGUCCUACCGAGUAAAGCAGGGGGAGAGAAGACGGUGGUUGGAUUGUAAAGGUCUGUGGUGAGAGAAGCGGUAACUAAUCAGAAAUGGACGGCUAACUCCGGGCCAGCAGCCGCGGUAAUUC